AACGAACGCUGGCGGCAUGCCUAACACAUGCAAGUCGAACGCGUGUAGCAAUACACGAGUGGCGGACGGGUGAGUAACGCGUGGGAACCUGCCCAAUGGUAGGGAAUAACUGCGGGAAACUGCAGCUAAUACCCUAUGCUCCCUACGGGGGAAAGAUUUAUCGCCAUUGGAGGGGCCCGCGUCGGAUUAGCUAGUUGGCGGGGUAACGCCCACCAAGGCUACGAUCCGUAGCUGGUCNGAGAGGAUGAUCAGCCACACUGGGACUGAGAUACGGCCCAGACUCCUACGGGAGGCAGCAGUGGGGAAUAUUGGAC
rnacentral:rRNA from 1 species